rnacentral:ncRNA from 2 species
GUGUCCGAUUAAAGGAGAGAUGGUUGCCAUCUCCUCUGUUAGGGUCGGGAACAGCCUUCGGGCUUCCCUGUUAACACAACACAUACGAUUAAGUAUAUAAUCAUGAAUUAUA